GUUUAAUAAAUCAUAUUACAAAAUAUCUCAAAUAAAAAAAUAAUGCUAUUAAGUAAAAUUGUCAAAAGAUAACAUAUUAGUUCAUUUUAUAUAUGGUUGAAAAUUAAAUUUUGCCUAGCUAAGUGUAUGUUCUUAAUAUAUUUUAACAAUGUAUUUAAUAUAGUAACUCAAACUUAUUGUAAGACCUCAACUUAUUAUAAAUAAAAUUGAAUUUUUUCUAUUCAAUAUCUAAAUUAAUAAGGUGUUAAUUUGAUAUAAUACUUUGGUUAUGGGUCAAAUAUGCAAAUUUUACAAAAUAAGUAAGUGGUUAUAAAAUAUUUCUUUUAUCGGAGAAUAUUCGUUUGGUCGUGGAAUAUUCUUUUUGUCGAAAAUAUCCGUACAACGGCGCAGUCAAUUGUGGGUCCCAUAACGGAAUAACUUUCGGAUGAAGAAAAUGACAAAGUUUGAGUUUUAUAAAUAACGGCGUAAUUGUUACCGUUAACACUGUUGGAAUACCUGGUGGUUAAAAUACAGUAAUACGCGUGGUUGCACAGUAGUACACGGUAUUGCACAAUAUUGUUGAAUUAUUGAUUCAUACGUAAGAAGACACUACUAUAUAAUUGUUACAGUAGUUACUGUUCAAUAUUUUAUUUUAUUGAUUCAAUAAUUGCUGCGUUAAUAUUUUAUAUUAUUGUUGUUUCAAUAAUUGUCACUGCACAGAAUUUUCCAUUAUCAGAUUAAUAAUUCAUAUUAUUUGAAUAAUAUUAUUAGAUAGCAUUAUUGGCAAUGCCUAGAAAGUUCUGUCAAUGAGAGGUUUGGUCACCUAAUUGCGCGCCAGUAAGGAGAAAUCCUUAUCGAAAAGCCCCCUCUUUCCUGGGAACGGCCUGGUUGUCAUAAUUGUGAUUUUGUAAUAUUAUUUGUAAAAUAAUUAAUUAUUGAUGUAUAUGAUAAGGAAAUAUUUAUUUGAUGUGGAUAUAAAUGAUGAAUUUAUUUAUUUUAUGUGGUUAUAAAUGAAGGAAUUAAUGCUGAGGUGUUUUAUCAGUAUUUUGUCGGAAAUGAGGUAUUAAAAAUCACCAGUUUAUGGAUUUUGGAUAUUUUAUGUAUGAAAUUUGGAAAAACUCAAAGCUACAAAGUUGUAGAGAAUUCGAUUUCAUGUGAAAUGGACAUAAAAUUCGUAUUUUUCUGAUAAACGAGCUAUUUUCUAUGAAUUAUUGAAGUUUCAGAAAAUAAAAUAAUUUUUAUUAAAAUUGGGUGGGACCCACUUUUGUUUUAACACAUGUGGGCUACAAAAUUUUGUUCAAAGAUGGCUGGUGGCUGAGAAUUGUCAAGAGGCAUGCCUAGAAAAGAAAGAAAUUAUAUUGAUAUUUUAUUAUUUUAGUUUCCUAUGGCGUUCUAGCAUUUUCCUAUAAAUAGGCGCUUAGGUUAGAAUUGAAAAUCACACCAGAAAUAAAUUUUCUUUCUCUCUAGAUUAUCGAGCGUAAUUUUAUGAGUAUUUAUAUACUUUGAGAGUUGCUGUUCGGUCGGCUUUAUAUCCGAUAUUCCGAUCAGAAGUACCGUUAUUUUGAGGUAAGAGAUGUUAUUUUCUUCUUAAAUGAUAUUAUUUUCUUCAAUAUCAUUAUGUCGAAAUAUUGGUGAACGUUUUAAUCAAAUUUGGAACUUUUUGUGUCGGGGUUACUAUUCACGUAUACGGCACUAUUCACGAAUACGGCACUUUUCACCGAAGAAUGAAAAUUUUUCUUUUUAUCCAAGAUGUCUAUUUUGGCUACUAUAUAUCUUUGAUUGUAUCCAUGUUCUAAUCGUUAUUUUUGAAUUCUGCUUCACAAUUGAUUAUUAUGAAGUAUUAUUGAUCUUGGAUAAACUGUUAUACGAAUCCCUAAUAUUAGUCCUUCUGUCUCACUGGAUUCGUUUUCUUUAAAGUAUUUUUCAUCAUCCUCAGUCUUAAAUGAUGAUAUUGCUGAAUAUCUUUGGCCUGUAGUGCAAAGAUGAAUGAUUAACUGAUGAA
rnacentral:lncRNA from 1 species